rnacentral:ncRNA from 1 species
GUCAUCAUGCCCCUUAUGCCCUGGGCGACACACGUGCUACAAUGGGCGGGACAAAGGGUCGCGAUCUCGCGAGGGUGAGCUAACUCCAAAAACCCGUCCUCAGUUCGGAUUGCAGGCUGCAACUCGCCUGCAUGAAGCAGGAAUAGCUAGUAAUCGCCGGUCAGCCAUACGGCGGUGAAUCCGUUCCCGGGCCUUGUACACACCGCCCGUCACACUAUAGGAGCUGGCCAUGUUUGAAGUCAUUACCCUUAACCGUAAGGAGGGGGAUGCCUAAGGCUAGGCUUGCGAC